rnacentral:misc_RNA from 1 species
CCAAUAGCGUAUAUUAAAGUUGUUGCAGUUAAAAAGCUCGUAGUUGAAUUUCGGGACCAAUCUGCCGGUCGUGCCUCCGGUACGCACUGGUUUUAUUGGUUUCUCCCUUCUGACGAACCAUGAUGUCAUUAAUUUGGUGUCAUGGGGAAUCAGGACUGUUACUUUGAAAAAAUUAGAGUGUUUAUAGCAGGCUCACGCUUGAAUACAUUAGCAUGGAAUAAUGAAAUAGGACGUUUGACCCUAUUUUGGUGGUUUCUAGGAUCGACGUAAUGAUUAAUAGGGAUAGUUGGGGGCAUUAGUAUUCAAUUGUCAGAGGUGAAAUUCUUGGAUUUAUUGAAGACUAACUACUGCGAAAGCAUUUGCCAAGGAUGUUUUCAUUAAUCAAGAACGAAAGUUAGGGGAUCGAAGACGAUCAGAUACCGUCGUAGUCUUAACCAUAAACUAUGCCGACUAGGGAUCGGAUGAUGUUAAUUUUUUAAUGACUCAUUCGGCGCCUUACG